AUCCAUGCUUGACCUUUUUUUGGCUUUUUGUUGUUUCCUAUGUACUUGUGGCAGACUUCCACCAAAAUGGGUUUUGUCUUUACCCAUUAUGUGUUUAGAGUCCUUCGGAUAAUAAUAAAAAUACUCAUCUUUGGUUUUGUAUUGACUUGACAGGAAGGCUUUCUUUGUUCUUGGCUUAUGUUGCUUCUGGGUUCUUCAACAGCCCCAACACAGGAGGCUUCUUGACUCACAUCAUUUGAGAGGGCCAUCAUACUGCCCAUUGAGGUGCUGGUUUUGCUUUGUCUUAGUUGCUUCAUGUUUUGCCAACAACAAAGUGAGAACCUUUUGCAAUUUGCUGCAGAGGAGUGCUGGCUUAGUAAUUUUCGUGAGCUGUCUGACUUGGGAUUUUUCUUUGUUGGUUAAUUUUGAAGCACAGAAAGUGGGUGUGAAUCAUCAGCUUUUCACGUUUUGCUACCUGUUCUUUCUCCAAUCUGCAGAUUUGGAAUUUUGCUCUGCUGAAGGCUCAUGUAACAUUUGUUUGUGGAACAUUUGUUUGUUGCAAAAAUGGUGGCGGGAGUGGCUGGGCACUACAAUUGUGAAAGAGAUGUUGACAUUUGUGUUGGGACUUUGAGCAAGGCUGCAGGUUGCCAUGGUGGAUUCAUAGCAUGCAGGCAAGUAUUCAUGCUAUCUUUCCGCUUAGAUAUUGUAAAUGCUUAGAAAGGAAACAUGGUGUAGAAGGGAAUUUUGGAAUCGGGUGCAAGACUUCCGUGUUCUCACUGGAAUCCUCAUAAGUAGUCCCAUAAUAUCUCUAUUGUAGGGAGCGAAGAAGAGAAUGCUCUGCAAUCCAGCCAGUUUUGUUUCCCUCUCUAUCUGUUUACUACGAGUGACAUUAAGCGCAACACACGUAAGAGCUGCACUCUACCUUUGUGUCAAUUUCCAAGAAGUCGGAAUCCAUGGCUCAAAUGGAUAUGCAAGGCUUUAGAACUUGAUUGUUUAGAUUCCAAUAGUUCAUAACUGUACAGAGAAUGAAAGUACCAAAACACAUUUACUGUAA